rnacentral:rRNA from 1 species
AUUGAACGCUGGCGGCAGGCCUAGCACAUGCAAGUCGAACGGUAACAGGAAGCAGCUUGCUGCUUUGCUGACGAGUGGCGGACGGGUGAGUAAUGUCUGGGAAACUGCCUGAUGGAGGGGGAUAACUACUGGAAACGGUAGCUAAUACCGCAUAACGUCGCAAGACCAAAGAGGGGGACCUUAGGGCCUCUUGCCAUCGGAUGUGCCCAGAUGGGAUUAGCUAGUAGGUGGGGUAACGGCUCACCUAGGCGACGAUCCCUAGCUGGUCUGAGAGGAUGACCAGCCACACUGGAACUGAGACACGGUCCAGACUCCUACGGGAGGCAGCAGUGGGGAAUAUUGCACAAUGGGCGCAAGCCUGAUGCAGCCAUGCCGCGUGUAUGAAGAAGGCCUUCGGGUUGUAAAGUACUUUCAGCGGGGAGGAAGGGAGUAAAGUUAAUACCUUUGCUCAUUGACGUUACCCGCAGAAGAAGCACCGGCUAACUCCGUG